GGAAUAUUGGACAAUGGGCGCAAGCCUGAUCCAGCCAUGCCGCGUGAGUGAUGAAGGCCUUAGGGUUGUAAAGCUCUUUCGUCCGGGACGAUAAUGACGGUACCGGAAGAAGAAGCCCCGGCUAACUUCGUGCCAGCAGCCGCGGUAAUACGAAGGGGGCUAGCGUUGUUCGGAAUCACUGGGCGUAAAGGGCGCGUAGGCGGCUUUGUAAGUCGGGGGUGAAAGCCUGUGGCUCAACCACAGAAUUGCCUUCGAUACUGCAUGGCUUGAGACCGGAAGAGGUAAGUGGAACUGCGAGUGUAGAGGUGAAAUUCGUAGAUAUUCGCAAGAACACCAGUGGCGAAGGCGGCUUACUGGUCCGGUUCUGACGCUGAGGCGCGAAAGCGUGGGGAGCAAACA
rnacentral:rRNA from 1 species